rnacentral:rRNA from 1 species
UAAGGAAUAUUGGUCAAUGGACGCAAGUCUGAACCAGCCAUGCCGCGUGAAGGAUGAAGGUCCUCUGGAUUGUAAACUUCUUUUAUCUGGGACGAAAACGGGAUUUUUAUCCCAAUUGACGGUACCAGAGGAAUAAGCACCGGCUAACUCCGUGCCAGCAGCCGCGGUAAUACGGAGGGUGCGAGCGUUAUCCGGAUUUACUGGGUUUAAAGGGUGCGUAUGUGGGCUUAUAAGUCAGUGGUGAAAUCUCCGAGCUUAACUUGGAAACUGCCGUUGAUACUAUAGGUCUUGAAUUAUCUGGAGGAAAGCGGAAUAUGUCAUGUAGCGGUGAAAUGCUUAGAUAUGACAUAGAACACCAAUUGCGAAGGCAGCUUACUACAUAUAAAUUGACGCUGAGGCACGAAAGCGUGG